UUUUUUUUUUUAAUUUUUUUUUGGUGAUUUUGUUGUUGUUUCCUCUAAAGAUGAGUUGUAUGUGUGUUCUUUUGUUAGUUUAUUCUAUUUUUGAGAAGAGAUUUUAGGUUCAAUAGGUCAAGUUAUGGUUUUUGGGGUGCGAGAAAUGGUGAGAUUGAUUCACAGUUUGGUUUGGUGUUUUUGGUCCAAACUUGGUUAUUAAAAAUGAUUAUUCCAAAGUGGUCAGGUCUUUGAUUUUGAGAUUACUUUGUUUUACCGUUGUGAUCCCAAUCAGUAUAUGAUGAAUGAUGUGUCAUCUUUAUUGAUAACUAUAACAGUGGUGAAUGAUGUGUACUAUGAAUUUCAUUUUAUGAUAUAUUCCUUGAAUUAGUGUGUGAAAACUUGUAAUAAUAUUUUAUUUAUUUAGCUGUUUUUAUAUUCUUGAAUUUUCUUUGUUUUUAAAGCUAUGUUAAAUAUUUUUUGGAUACGGUGUUAGGUAUCUGACCCAUUUACGCUUUUUAAAAAAAAAAAAAAAUUUCCAAGAAAAAGCAUAAAAAUUAAAUGGUUUGGGCAGGAUUGGUAGUAGUAAUGGAUUUGAAACGGGUAUAGAUAACGAAGAGUAAAUUCUAGUUGAGUUUGUAACAGAUUCUAGUAGCAUAUAUACAAAGUGGGGUCAUGUAGUUUAGAUGCAGUAACUUACUGCAUCCUUACACCCACCUCAGCUCUCUUGCAUCUCUCACCAGUCACCACUUUUGGCUCUCUCUGUCCAGUGUGUAACUUGAUUCUAUUUUUUUCCAUUUCCUUUUUAAUUUAAAUUCUAAUUCUUGAUGUUUCUUUUGUGUUGAUACAAUUGGUAUGUGCCUUUUAUUUUAAUUAAUAUUGUCAGAAGAUAAUAGAUUUUUUUUCCAUAUUUAAAUAUUGCUUUUUUGAUUAUUAAACUGUUUUCAACCUUAUUGUGCCUGUUUUGUCAUUAAAAAAAAAAAAAAAUCUGCAAUAGCUUGUGUAGGCUGUUCUUGAAUUGGGUUUUAGUUCAUUGUGUUAUUGAACUUCUUUUUUUAACUCUUGUGAAAUUUGUUUGCAUUAUAUUGCGUGUAUGCAGGAAAUGUAACCUACUCGAAUCACUUAAAUACAAAUCACUAAAUUUGUUUGACUGUAUAAACAUUGGCAGAGCCGUAGAUCCACGCACAAGGGGUCCCAGACUCACCUGAUACAAAGUGAUGGCUCUAUGGAGAGUUCAUGCAGCUUCAUUGCCUCUUGUGAAGAGACUUGUGCAACCUGCUUCCUUCCUUUCCAUUGACAAUGCUGAUCGCAGUUUCUCCACUGGUAGGCUUAGUUUAUUUCGCACUGUUUUUAAUUUCUGCUUGCAACUUCCAUACGAUUUUCUUUACUAAUGUGAAUUGUCGUUUGGAAAAUUGGUGUUUGAGUCAAAAAGGGAAACCUGGAUCAGUUUGAUUAACUUUCUAUGAUAGUUUACUGAAGAAAAGGGUUUUGAAAUGGGGAGUUUCUCCUUUGGCAGUAGAUAAACAUAGAUAAGGCAUGAAGACGAUUAAAAAAAAAAAUAAUAAUAAGAGUUUUGGUUAGCCAUAAUGAAAUGUGAUGGAUAUAAUGGAAUGAAAAAUGCUAUAGUGAUGAAUAAUCAUUAAAUUCCAUUAUUCUUUGUUAUCGUACAUGUUUUACUAUAUGUUCACUAACAUUUCUUUUGUUUCACAAAUGAGUAUGUCGGGUUUAUUUUCUGUUUAAUUGCUGGAAAUGUCGGAGAAAAACUAAUGAAAAAGGAAAAUUUUUUGAAGCUUGUUACAUUUUUGUUUUUUCUUAUUGGGCCAAUGAUUAGAAAAAUAUUAAAUUGUGUUUUUUCUGUUGUGUUCUAUUCCUUUAAUUUUAUCAAUUUGGUUUAUUAAUUAGAUUGUGUCAAUUUAUCUACUAGACCCGAAGGCAGAUAUGGACGUAACUUGUUAAUUUGAAAGUAGGCCUUCCUUAACCAUAAUAGCUUUUGACAUAUUGUGUUCUGCAAAAUUCUUCCCCUCAUAAUGUUAUUUAAAAUUGGGAUUCACAUUUUUCAAAAUGCUACCAUAUGGUGCUGUUAAAUAUAGGAGGAGCCCAUUUCAUUCAACUUGGCAAUUUUUGCUUGUGUUAGAAGUCAAUCUCAGAGCCAUAUCAACAUGAGCACAUACUGUACCUUUGGUGCUAGUGAAACAAAAUUAACUACAUUUGAACCACAUUGAUAGAAUUAGAAGUAUAUGAUACAACUGGAAAAGCAAGUAAAGUUUAUUGCCUUAAUUGAAAAAGAAAAGAAUUUAAGGAACUUCUAUAUUCUUUUUCGGUUGAAUAUUGAAGAGAUGAUAACAAAAGAUUAAAUGCAGUUCGUUGUUUAACAUAAGUUUGUUGUAAACUUCAAACUUA
rnacentral:misc_RNA from 1 species